AUAAGGAGCUUGCUCCUUUGACGUUAGCGGCGGACGGGUGAGUAACACGUGGGUAACCUACCUAUAAGACUGGGAUAACUUCGGGAAACCGGAGCUAAUACCGGAUAAUAUUUCGAACCGCAUGGUUCGAUAGUGAAAGAUGGUUUUGCUAUCACUUAUAGAUGGACCCGCGCCGUAUUAGCUAGUUGGUAAGGUAACGGCUUACCAAGGCGACGAUACGUAGCCGACCUGAGAGGGUGAUCGGCCACACUGGAACUGAGACACGGUCCAGACUCCUACGGGAGGCAGCAGUAGGGAAUCUUCCGCAAUGGGCGAAAGCCUGACGGAGCAACGCCGCGUGAGUGAUGAAGGUCUUCGGAUCGUAAAACUCUGUUAUUAGGGAAGAACAUACGUGUAAGUAACUGUGCACGUCUUGACGGUACCUAAUCAGAAAGCCACGGCUAACUACGUGCCAGCAGCCGCGGUAAUACGUAGGUGGCAAGCGUUAUCCGGAAUUAUUGGGCGUAAAGCGCGCGUAGGCGGUUUUUUAAGUCUGAUGUGAAAGCCCACGGCUCAACCGUGGAGGGUCAUUGGAAACUGGAAAACUUGAGUGCAGAAGAGGAAAGUGGAAUUCCAUGUGUAGCGGUGAAAUGCGCAGAGAUAUGGAGGAACACCAGUGGCGAAGGCGACUUUCUGGUCUGUAACUGACGCUGAUGUGCGAAAGCGUGGGGAUCAAACAGGAUUAGAUACCCUGGUAGUCCACGCCGUAAACGAUGAGUGCUAAGUGUUAGGGGGUUUCCGCCCCUUAGUGCUGCAGCUAACGCAUUAAGCACUCCGCCUGGGGAGUACGACCGCAAGGUUGAAACUCAAAGGAAUUGACGGGGACCCGCACAAGCGGUGGAGCAUGUGGUUUAAUUCGAAGCAACGCGAAGAACCUUACCAAAUCUUGACAUCCUUUGACAACUCUAGAGAUAGAGCCUUCCCCUUCGGGGGACAAAGUGACAGGUGGUGCAUGGUUGUCGUCAGCUCGUGUCGUGAGAUGUUGGGUUAAGUCCCGCAACGAGCGCAACCCUUAAGCUUAGUUGCCAUCAUUAAGUUGGGCACUCUAAGUUGACUGCCGGUGACAAACCGGAGGAAGGUGGGGAUGACGUCAAAUCAUCAUGCCCCUUAUGAUUUGGGCUACACACGUGCUACAAUGGACAAUACAAAGGGCAGCGAAACCGCGAGGUCAAGCAAAUCCCAUAAAGUUGUUCUCAGUUCGGAUUGUAGUCUGCAACUCGACUACAUGAAGCUGGAAUCGCUAGUAAUCGUAGAUCAGCAUGCUACGGUGAAUACGUUCCCGGGUCUUGUACACACCGCCCGUCACACCACGAGAGUUUGUAACACCCGAAGCCGGUGGAGUAACCAUUGGAGCUAG
rnacentral:rRNA from 1 species